rnacentral:rRNA from 1 species
UACGUAGGGUGCAAGCGUUAAUCGGAAUUACUGGGCGUAAAGCGUGCGCAGGCGGUUUUGUAAGCCAGAUGUGAAAGCCCCGGGCCUAACCUGGGAAUGGCAUUUGGGACUGCAAGGCUUGAGUAUGGCAGAGGGGACUAGAAUUCCUGGUGUAGCAGUGAAAUGCGUAGAUAUCAGGAGGAAUACCGAUGGCGAAGGCAGGUCCCUGGGCUAAUACUGACGCUCAUGCACGAAAGCGUGGGGAGCAAACAGGAUUAGAUACCCUGGUAGUCCACGCCCUAAACGAUGUCGACUGGUUGUUGGGGGUUUGACACUCUCAGUAACGAAGCUAACGCGUGAAGUCGACCGCCUGGGGAGUACGGCCGCAAGGUUAAA